AGUGGUCUGCUCAGCUCCCUCGCGCGCCGCAGAGUGUGGCUGGGAGCCGGAAUAUGACGUCAUCGACCCUGCUCCCAGCCUCACUCUGUGGUGCGCGAGGGAGCUGAGCAGUCAGCUCAGGGG